rnacentral:rRNA from 1 species
AGUCGCACGAGAAAGGGGGAAGCAACCCCUGAGUAAAGUGGCGCACGGGUGAGUAACACGUGAAUGAUCUACCUCCGAGUGGGGAAUAACUGAGAGAAAUCUUAGCUAAUACCGCAUAACACUUACGAGUCAAAGCAGCAAUGCGCUUAGAGAGGAGUUCGCGGCCGAUUAGUUAGUUGGCGGGGUAAUGGCCCACCAAGACGAUGAUCGGUAUCCGGCCUGAGAGGGCGCACGGACACACUGGAACUGAAACACGGUCCAGACUCCUACGGGAGGCAGCAGUGGGGAAUUUUGCGCAAUGGGGGAAACCCUGACGCAGCAACGCCGCGUGGAGGAUGAAAUAUCUUGGUAUGUAAACUCCUUUCGAUGGGGAAGAUUAUGACGGUACCCAUAGAAGAAGCCCCGGCUAACUUCGUGCCAGCAGCCGCGGUAAUACGAGGGGGGCAAGCGUUGUUCGGAUUUAUUGGGCGUAAAGGGUGCGUAGGCGGUUUGGCAAGUCUUAUGUGAAAUCUUCGGGCUCAACCCGAAGCCUGCAUAAGAAACUGCCGGGCUUGAGUAUGGGAGAGGUGAGUGGAAUUUCCGGUGUAGCGGUGAAAUGCGUAGAUAUCGGAAGGAACACCUGUGGCGAAAGCGGCUCACUGGACCAUAACUGACGCUGAUGCA